rnacentral:lncRNA from 1 species
GCAUUGGGAAGUGCUAUGCAUAUUCUUUGCAUUAUAAUUUUUCAGAUAAAUUACUAAAAUCAAUCCAUCUUUUCUAUAAUAUCAUUUAUAUGUUAAAAUUCAAUUUACAUACUUAUCAUGUACCUCCUUCCUGAUUGAAGCCCAACAUCCUUAGGCUUUUAGCUGGUAUAAGAUUGCAAAAGUUAGAUGAUGCAACAGUAUUGUUGGGUAUAAAAUAACCCC